rnacentral:rRNA from 1 species
GGCGGCGUGCCUAAUACAUGCAAGUCGAGCGAAUGGAUUAAGAGCUUGCUCUUAUGAAGUUAGCGGCGGACGGGUGAGUAACACGUGGGUAACCUGCCCAUAAGACUGGGAUAACUCCGGGAAACCGGGGCUAAUACCGGAUAACAUUUUGAACCGCAUGGUUCGAAAUUGAAAGGCGGCUUCGGCUGUCACUUAUGGAUGGACCCGCGUCGCAUUAGCUAGUUGGUGAGGUAACGGCUCACCAAGGCAACGAUGCGUAGCCGACCUGAGAGGGUGAUCGGCCACACUGGGACUGAGACACGGCCCAGACUCCUACGGGAGGCAGCAGUAGGGAAUCUUCCGCAAUGGACGAAAGUCUGACGGAGCAACGCCGCGUGAGUGAUGAAGGCUUUCGGGUCGUAAAACUCUGUUGUUAGGGAAGAACAAGUGCUAGUUGAAUAAGCUGGCACCUUGACGGUACCUAACCAGAAAGCCACGGCUAACUACGUGCCAGCAGCCGCGGUAAUACGUAGGUGGCAAGCGUUAUCCGGAAUUAUUGGGCGUAAAGCGCGCGCAGGUGGUUUCUUAAGUCUGAUGUGAAAGCCCACGGCUCAACCGUGGAGGGUCAUUGGAAACUGGGAGACUUGAGUGCAGAAGAGGAAAGUGGAAUUCCAUGUGUAGCGGUGAAAUGCGUAGAGAUAUGGAGGAACACCAGUGGCGAAGGCGACUUUCUGGUCUGUAACUGACACUGAGGCGCGAAAG